ACGGAAGGCAGCAGUGGGGAAUAUUGCACAAUGGGCGCAAGCCUGAUGCAGCGAUGCCGCGUGAGGGAAGAAGGUUUUCGGAUUGUAAACCUCUGUCAUAAGGGACGAAAAAAGACGGUACCUUAGAAGGAAGCUCCGGCUAACUACGUGCCAGCAGCCGCGGUAAUACGUAGGGAGCAAGCGUUAUCCGGAUUUACUGGGUGUAAAGGGUGCGUAGGUGGCAUGGUAAGUCAGAUGUGAAAUACCGGGGCUCAACCCCGGGGCUGCAUUUGAAACUGCCAGGCUGGAGUACAGGAGAGGCAAGCGGAAUUCCUAGUGUAGCGGUGAAAUGCGUAGAUAUUAGGAGGAACACCAGUGGCGAAGGCGGCUUGCUGGACUGUUACUGACACUGAGGCACGAAAGCGUGGGGAGCAAACAGGAUUAGAUACCCUGGUA
rnacentral:rRNA from 1 species